rnacentral:rRNA from 1 species
CCCAUCAGAGGGGGAUAACACUUGGAAACAGGUGCUAAUACCGCAUAACAGUUUAUGCCGCAUGGCAUAAGAGUGAAAGGCGCUUUCGGGUGUCGCUGAUGGAUGGACCCGCGGUGCAUUAGCUAGUUGGUGAGGUAACGGCUCACCAAGGCCACGAUGCAUAGCCGACCUGAGAGGGUGAUCGGCCACACUGGGACUGAGACACGGCCCAGACUCCUACGGGAGGCAGCAUG